UUCUUCUCAUUCUUCUUUCAUUUAUUCUUCUCGAUCGUGAAAAAGGAUGAAGUUGUUCCGACCUCCGAUCCAGUUGUUCCUACCUCCGAUCCAGCUGUUUCGAACUCAGAUCCUGCUGUUCCGACCUCCGAUCAUUUCUGGGAGAGAAGACAAAACUCAAGUCAUGCAUUAUAAUUUUGGUCCUGAUCCAAAGGAGAUUAUUAAUGUUAUCUCAUACAUGUGUUGCUUUUGUAUUGUGCUUUGCUCUAUUAUUUGUGUUUGGAAUGCUCAACCUAAAUCUCCAUCAAGUGUGAUUUCCUUGAUUAAAUCUGAUAAAAGAAUGACAAAGGUCAAGAUAUUUUGAUGUCCAUGAAUUCCGAUCCUUCUCAAUGACCUUAUGCGUUCAUUGAUAUCAGAAAGUUCAAGCUUCAUUGAAGAAAAAUUGUACAAAAACAGAAGAACCUUGUGGCAUCUCAGUAGGUGUUGUUGAAGACAAAGCGCUCACGUUGUUUUCCUCUGUGCAGUUCUUCAUUGUCACUCGCUCAACAAUCACUCUCACCCAACCUUUUGUCAAACAACGAGGCGUAAGAAACUAAACAAUUUUUUUUUCUUCAUUUGAUGGGUUAUAACAAAAACCUCUGAAUGACGGUGUACGUGUAAAUUGUGAUCAGCACAAAUGGAAAAUAAUUAUUAGUUAAUAUUCUAUUCUA